UACGGAGGGCGCGAGCGUUACCCGGAAUCAUUGGGCGUAAAGGGCUCCUAGGUGGUUCAGUAAGUCGACUGUGAAAAUCCAAGGCUCAACCUUGGGACGCCAGUCGAUACUGCUGUGACUUGAGUUCGGUAGAGGAGUGUGGAAUUUCUGGUGUAGCGGUGAAAUGCGCAGAUAUCAGAAGGAACACCAACGGCGAAGGCAGCACUCUGGGCCGAAACUGACACUGAAGAGCGAAAGCGUGGGGAGCAAACAGG
rnacentral:misc_RNA from 1 species